rnacentral:lncRNA from 1 species
AGACCCAGGUUUGUUUCGUUUAAAGGAGGAUGCAAUUCUGUCCGUGAAUGCAUUUUCUCUAAAUGUUGGCUUCAUCCCUCCUUUGGUAGAGCAUGUCAACGGAUUUGCUAAUGGCAAAGAAGGGAAAACAGAAGCAAAGAAAACUGUUUCAAAAGUCUUGGAAUUGCUACUGUUAAAAGGCUGCGGUUCAUUUCUGAUUUCCUCAUCUUUUGCUACAAAGGAAAAAGAAAUCCAAUGAUGUGUCUACCUUUGGUGAGAAGAAAACACGAGCAACAGCAGUGUAGGCAGAAACUGCAGGCUGUUCAGAAUCCAAUUCUCUGGAUAUUGGCAUGCUACAUUCAAUGUCCAGCUACAUUAAGUGUCCAUCUAUCAAAAUACUAG